CGGAAGAAAAUGAAAAACCAAGGAGCGCAAGAAAAAAAAUAAAGAGGAAAAGGGGCAAGAAGAGUGAACUUGGGAUGAUGCCAAUACGACCUUCGUACCCUCGAAAUCAUUUUAGAUCUGAUAACUGUGACUAGGUAUAUUGCUCAUAAUGUGAGAUUAUCUUAUGUUAAAUGCCUUAACACUAACGUGAUGACUUCAUUUUGUUCCUCUUUGUUAUGUUCAUUAUAGUAGAAGGGUGGUUGGUUUGUGGUUCUUAAACUGGGAACUCUUUCCUUCAAUAUAACAUCGAAAGGCAAUGACAGAGGACAACAGAAUUGAGUUGGUUGAUACUGGUGCCCGCCCAAAAGCAAUUGUUUCAACGAGACACUAUGUUGGUUGAAGAGAUGAGGAUGUUAAGACAACACAUGACAGACAUGUAUGAGGCUUGGAUGACUGGUAUUUAUCAAUUCCAUGGACACCACUUAAAAGUAGCUUGAAGCUUGGUUCUGAAAUGUGAACAAAUUGGAUGAUGGUUGCUAUUGAAUUCUCACUUCUGUUUCUUCCAUUUCAUGCAUAAUGUAUAUCAUUUAGUUCGGAGAUAGCUUGUUCGAGGUAUAUUUAUGGUUGAAUAGAGUAUGAAUAGGUUUAUAAUCACCUUAUUGUUGGGUGCACUUGCUAAGUUCUAUGUUCUAGAAUUAUCUUUGGUUUGCAACAUAGAACAAGUUAUGGCUUAGUUACUUGGAUGUCAUGGGGUUUGAAUUGGUGUAUAUGUAAAAGGGGACUUUCAAGGACAUUCAUAAUAGCUGUUGACUAAUUGUUUCGUAAUUUGUGUAAUUAUUCGAUGGCAUGAAAUUCUAGUACAUUUUAUGGAGCUUA